GACUGAGGUAGCUCAGUGGUAGAGUGCUUGCCUAGCACAUAUGAGGCACUGAGUUCAAUCCUCAGCAUCACA
rnacentral:tRNA from 1 species